rnacentral:rRNA from 1 species
AUUGAACGCUGGCGGCAUGCCUUACACAUGCAAGUCGAACGGCAGCACGGGAGCAAUCCUGGUGGCGAGUGGCGAACGGGUGAGUAAAGCAUCGGAACGUGCCCAGUCGUGGGGGAUAACGUAGCGAAAGCUACGCUAAUACCGCAUACGAUCUGUGGAUGAAAGCGGGGGACCGUAAGGCCUCGCGCGAUUGGAGCGGCCGAUGUCAGAUUAGGUAGUUGGUGGGGUAAAGGCUCACCAAGCCGACGAUCUGUAGCUGGUCUGAGAGGACGACCAGCCACACUGGGACUGAGACACGGCCCAGACUCCUACGGGAGGCAGCAGUGGGGAAUUCUGGACAAUGGGCGCAAGCCUGAUCCAGCAAUGCCGCGUGCAGGAUGAAGGCCUUCGGGUUGUAAAAUGCUUUUGUUAGGGAAGAAACCCUCGUAUGCGUACGAGGCUGACGGUACCUAAAGAAUAAGGAUCGGCUAACUCCGUGCCAGCCGCCGCUGUAAAAC